GCAUUUAAUAGUACUGCGCCGUAGACAGCAGGUGCCUGAUGGCUUAAUUCCCUGCCGAGGUUGUUGAAUUCGUCUUUUCAAGUAUGAAAAACGAUUCUGCCUCCAUGUCUGCCUGCGGCACAUGGGGGCUUUCUUAUGAAUAUG
rfam:Bacillus selenitireducens MLS10, complete genome.